rnacentral:lncRNA from 1 species
UAUCAGGGGCGUAGCUAGGUAUUCAUUCAACUGUAGGCACCAAUCGGUAGGGGGUCUGGCGGCCGCUUAAGGCCCCAGCAGUUCCAGGGCAGAGGCCUGGUAGGGGGUUCAGGGGGGCUUGCCCCCCUGACGGAAAACGGUUUUCAGCGUUUUAGCUGCAAAAUUUAAUGUACAAAAAUAUUAAAUUUACUGGUUAUUUAAUCAGGAUAAUUAUUAUAUACAUGAUGAAAAGUUAAAAGAAUUAUGAAUAAUGUACCAUAACAUCUGACUGGUGAAUUAAAAAACCCAGUACAAUCCGUAAUAUAAAAAAAAUAUUUACAAUAUGCAUUGCCCAGUGUAGAUCAGCGUAUCAUAAUUAAGCAGUACACCCUGUUUGGUAUUAUCAUAUCUAUUCCGUUUUGAUUGAUAUAUAUGUUCACUUAAUUAAUAGUACAUAUUGACGAUCCUACAUUUAAAAAAAAUAGGCACGUAAACAAUGAUACUACUAUAAUAGAACUAUCAUUUUGGCUAGACAUCAACCAUCAAUCUUUUGAAUCUUACACCUUCACCCUAGCCACACAAACGCAUACAAACAUAGUCGAUGCCUAACAAAAUUCAAGAAAUUCGUAUUUCUUUAUAUAUCCCCUUCUGUAAAAUCCCUACCUGCUUAGGAAUUUUGAAUAAUUGUGGCCAGUACAAGCAGAUUUGAGAGUACUAAAAUUUACUGGAAGCCAGUUGAUUGAUUGAUUUUUUACAUCCAGUGUCAAAUAUUUAUGCAAGUUCAGGACCGUUGAAAUUUUUUUUUACAAUAAAUACAACUUGGAGCUAGGUCCUGUAAUAGGUGUCGUCCAGGACGAAGGUCUAGAAAUUUAAAAAUACCAUGCAUUGGAAAAUGAGGGAUUAUUGGAUAGGAGCAUAAAAUUUGCCUUUCAGUAGACCAACUACGAUCUCCUCAAAGAGUUUCAUUCUCUCUACAACUAGGCAUCAGAUUUAAUGUUCCCAUUCUGACCAGGCGUGACUGCGUAUUAAUACAUCCUCCACAGCCAAACGGACGACCAACAUUGGCAAGUCGGGUGAAGACAAAGUGGAAAGCUAUUUGAAAACUAACAACAACUAAUUAAAAAACUUGUGUGUCUAAGUUGAGGUUCAUUCAAGUUUUUGUUGAUAGAGGUGAAAUGAUAUGAGCAAAGUUCUAGUUUUAAUAUAGUUUCUAUAUAAGGUAAAAUCGUAAAAACAUUCAAUUCUAUCCAAUGUUCCAUUCACUAAGGACGAGAGACUAGUGUACACAUGACAAUCGAUAAUUUAAGAGUUUUGACAACUUCACCGGCUU